UUGUAAUCUGAGUCACUGUGAAAGGUGAAUUGAAAGUAAGCAAGUUGAGAAAUGUGGAACAAACACACCGAUAGAAUAACGAACAGAAAAUUUAAAAAACAAAAACAAAAAAAAUUGUACACUUUACAUUAUAGUAGACUUUAUCUGGCAGAAAGGUUGGUGGCUAGGUACCUGAUAUAACUAUGUAGAGCUUCUUAACUAGUCGGGUGGCCAUUAAAUAUUACAAAUAAAUCCAGUUGUGUACUAGUAGUUGAGCCUCCAGAGUGAUCAGUGUCAUGUUGUAAUAAGCAAACAUAUGGGCUACAAAUGUAGUGCUCACAAAACGUUUUCUCCAAAUCAGUUUUAGGAGGUAGGAGUCUAACGUCUUGCGUUAACGAAAACCUGCCCUAUGGUGUAAAUCAGCUGGGAUCAUACAUUAAGUACACUACCACAAGCACAGACGGGAAGUUAAAGUAUGGAAGCGCUGCACAACUGUCCCAGUCGGCUUACUUUGCCCUUCAGUGUCCCUACACUGUGUUUGGCUUGGGAAGAACGCCCAAUUUUGUCGACGAGUUAGCCGUUGGAAUUCCAAGAUCGACAGACUCGGUAAGGAUAGACAUCACUUUAGG